CUGAUAGUAACCUCCACAACCAAACGUAAACGAUAAAAAAGUAAGCAAACAAGGGUUUAGUUGAAGCCUUCGUUUGCUGAAACCACGCUGCUUCAAAGAAAGGAGUGUCUUAGAAGAUGGUGGUAAAUCGCAAGACAAAACAAAUGUGAGAUUUUCAUCUAAUCAGUUACAUAUGUCAGUGGGGAUUUCAUAAUGAAUGACAACAAUCCAUGAUGUAUUUGGAACCAAAGUGACAUUCUCACUACAACAAAAGCAGUUCCUUUCCUUUAUUUAAUGAGCUAUUAUGAGUUGCAAAUUUUCUUAAGUAAACGCUUAGCGUAGAAUGUUGACAUUUUUUCAAGUAUUGAUUUUUGCAUGUAAAUUGUGUGAGAACGUCGAUUUCUUUUUUCAAUACUUGAUUUAUUGACGAUUAUGGUUUCUUCAUAUAGACAUUUUUAUCACUUCUUCUAUUUAUAUCGCUGAUCUUAUGACAAACAUAGUCUGAAUUAAAAUUAUACUUCAUAUGAAUUACUGAGCACUACGCUUCAAACAUAUGUGUAUUGCUUUCACUGUGGUGUUUGGUAAACUGUUUUAAUCCACCUCUGUUGUAUGCUCUUGAUCUAGCAGAACCCUUCAAAAAAAAUAAUUUGAGAAAAUUGGCAUCCUUUUUUUAGUCUUUGCCGUAACCCGAUAAUGUUUUCGUUGUUGUUUAGAAAAAAUUGUCUUUUAGCAAGUGCUGGGCUAUGGAAUGUGGAGAGAUUGCGAGUUGAAAUUUGUUAACUUCUUUAUAUAAAAACAAUGCUAGACUUUGUUUUCAAGAGCAUUUCUGCUUCUUUAGCGAGCUAAGUAUACGCAGGUACUGCUGUUAACUUAAAGCCAUGGUUCAGUGUGUCAAAAUAUUUAAUUUCAUCAAUUCUCCAUCGUCUUUUCUGCUAGAAGAUAUUUUGAUAUGGGGGAAAACAAGAGCAAAAACACAAAAAAAAACAAUCUUUGUUCUCUGUUCAUGCUUUGUUUCUACCAAUCGCCGAACUCUGAGCAAUUGUGAUGCUCAACUUGUUUAGUCGUCUAUAAAUAGUGUAAUAUAGACGCAUAAAAAUAAUUUUAUUUGAGACAUCUAUAAUGA